UGAGGAAUAUUGGACAAUGGGCGCAAGCCUGAUCCAGCAAUGCCGCGUGAAUGAUGAAGGCCUUCGGGUUGUAAAGUUCUUUUAGCAGGGAAGAAAAUGACUGUACCUGCAGAAAAAGCUCCGGCUAACUCUGUGCCAGCAGCCGCGGUAAUACAGAGGGAGCUAGUGUUUUUCGGAUUUACUGGGCGUAAAGAGCGCGUAGGUGGUUGUAUAAGUUAAAAGUGAAAUCUUAGAGCUUAACUCUAAAACUGCUUUUAAUACUGUAUAACUAGAGUCAAGUAGGGGACAAUGGAAUUCUUGGUGUAGGAGUGAAAUCCUUAGAUAUCAGGAGGAACACCAGUAGCGAAGGCGAUUGUCUGGACUUUGACUGACAUUGUGGCGCGAAAGCGUGGGGAGCAAACAGG
rnacentral:rRNA from 1 species